AGAAUCGGCCAUAUUAGCCUGACUAGACUGCAUCCCGUCCGCUCUGCAAAGUUAACCAGGCUCAAGCGUGGGUAGUACUCAGGUGGGUGACCACUGGGGAAGUCCACGUGCUGAUUCUUUUU
rnacentral:rRNA from 1 species